AGUCGAGCGGAUGAAGGGAGCUUGCUCCUGGAUUCAGCGGCGGACGGGUGAGUAAUGCCUAGGAAUCUGCCUGGUAGUGGGGGAUAACGUCCGGAAACGGGCGCUAAUACCGCAUACGUCCUGAGGGAGAAAGUGGGGGAUCUUCGGACCUCACGCUAUCAGAUGAGCCUAGGUCGGAUUAGCUAGUUGGUGGGGUAAAGGCCUACCAAGGCGACGAUCCGUAACUGGUCUGAGAGGAUGAUCAGUCACACUGGAACUGAGACACGGUCCAGACUCCUACGGGAGGCAGCAGUGGGGAAUAUUGGACAAUGGGCGAAAGCCUGAUCCAGCCAUGCCGCGUGUGUGAAGAAGGUCUUCGGAUUGUAAAGCACUUUAAGUUGGGAGGAAGGGCAGUAAGUUAAUACCUUGCUGUUUUGACGUUACCAACAGAAUAAGCACCGGCUAACUUCGUGCCAGCAGCCGCGGUAAUACGAAGGGUGCAAGCGUUAAUCGGAAUUACUGGGCGUAAAGCGCGCGUAGGUGGUUCAGCAAGUUGGAUGUGAAAUCCCCGGGCUCAACCUGGGAACUGCAUCCAAAACUACUGAGCUAGAGUACGGUAGAGGGUGGGUGGGAAUUUCCUGUGGUAGCGGUGAAAUGCGUAGAUAUAGGAAGGAACACCAGUGGCGAAGGCGACCACCUGGACUGAUACUGACACUGAGGUGCGAAAGCGUGGGGAGCAAACAGGAUUAGAUACCCUGGUAGUCCACGCCGUAAACGAUGUCGACUAGCCGUUGGGAUCCUUGAGAUCUUAGUGGCGCAGCUAACGCGAUAAGUCGACCGCCUGGGGGAGUACGGCCGCAAGGUUAAAACUCAAAUGAAUUGACGGGGGCCCGCACAAGCGGUGGAACAUGUGGUUUAAUUCGAAGCAACGCGAAGAACCUUACCUGGCCUUGACAUGCUGAGAACUUUCCAGAAAAUGGAUUGGUGCCUUC
rnacentral:rRNA from 1 species